rnacentral:rRNA from 1 species
CCUACGGGAGGCUGCAGUGGGGAAUAUUGCACAAUGGGGGAAACCCUGAUGCAGCAACGCCGCGUGAGUGAAGAAGUAAUUCGGUACGUAAAGCUCUAUCAGUAGGGAAGAAACUCUGACCUUACAGUCAGUAGACGGUACCUGAGUCAGUAGCCGCGGCUAACUACGUGCCAGCAGCCGCGGCAAUACGUAGGGGGCAAGCGUUAUGCGGACUUAUUGGGGGUAAAGGGAGCGUAGACGGUACGCCAAGUCAGGAGUGAAAUGCCGUGGCUUAACUGCGGAACUGCAUUUGAAACUGGUGAUCUAGAGUGUGGGAGAGGUAAGCGGAAUGCCUAGUGUAGCGGUGAAAUGCGUAGAUAUUAGGAGGAACACCGAUGGCGAAGGCGGCUUACUAGACCGUAACUGACGUUGAGGCUCGAAAGCGUGGGGAGCAAACAGGAUUAGAUACCCUAGUAGUC